GGGGGAAAAUUAAUAAAAAAAAAUAAAAAAAAAAUUUUUAAAUUAUAAAUUGAUUAUUUUAAUUGGGGGGUUAAAGUAUAUUGAUAGAAAAAAUUUGAAAUUUUAUAGAAAAUUAGUAUUGUGAAAGAAUUUUGAAAUAGGAAUGAAAAAUAAUUUAAUUAAAAGUAAUUUUAAUUUAGUGUAUCUUGUGUAUCAGAGUUUAUUAAAAAAUAUUUUUUGAUAAAAAAAAUUCUCGAAUUUAAAAGAGUUAAUUAAUUAUAAAAUUUAUUGUAGCAUAAAUAUUUUAAAUAAUUAAUUUGAAAUGAAAUGUUAAUCGUUUUUAAAUAUAUCUAGUUUUUUUAGAAAAAAAUUUAAUUUUGAAUUAAUUUAAUUAAUUUAAUUACUUAAAUAAUUAUUUAAUUAAUUAAUUUUAUAUUUUAAGGGAUAAGCUUUAAAUUAAAUAAAUAUAAUUAAAAUAAUUUAAAUUUGAAAAUUAUAUAAUUUAUAUUGUUAAAAAAUUAUAAUUUAUUAUAAAUAAUUUCAUUUAAAAUAAAAUUUAAAAUAAAAAUUUAUUGUUUUUAUAAAUAAAAUAAUUUAAAAUAAUAAAUAAUUAGUUAUAAUGAUAAAAUUAGUAUAUAUAUAUAUAUAUAAUAGUUUAUUAUAUUAUAUAUUAAAAUAAAAUUAAUAAUAUAAUUUAAAUAUUUUAAAGGAAUUCGGCAAAAUUAUAUAUUCACUUGUUUAUCAAAAACAUGUCUUUUUGAAAAUAAUAUAAAGUUUAAUUUGCCCACUGAUUUAAAAUUAAAGGGCUGCAGUAUAUUGACUGUACAAAGGUAGCAUAAUCAAUAGUCAUUUAAUUGAUGACUUGUAUGAAAGAUUGGAUGAAAUAUAAACUGUUUUUGAAAUAAUUUAUAGAAUUUAAUUUUUUAAUUAAAAAGUUAAAAUGAUUUAAAAAGACGAGAAGACCCUAUAGAGUUUUAUAAAAAUUUUUAUUAGAAUUGUUUAUAAAAAAAAUUAAUUUAUAUAAUUAUUUUUAUUUUAUUGGGGUGAUAGAAAAAUAAAAAUAACUUUUUUUAAAUUGUAACAUUAAUAAGUGAAAUAAUGAUCCAAUUUUAUUGAUUAAAAGAAAAAAUUACCUUAGGGAUAACAGCGUAAUUUUUUUUUUUAGUUCAAAUAAGAAAAAGAGUUUGCGACCUCGAUGUUGGAUUAAGAUAAAAUUUAAAUGCAGAAGUUUAAAAUUUUUGAUCUGUUCGAUCAUUAAAAUCUUACAUGAUCUGAGUUCAAACCGGUGUAAGCCAGGUUGGUUUCUAUCUUUUAAAAUAAAAAAAUAUUUUAGUACGAAAGGAUUAAAUAUUUAAAUUAAAUUUAUAAUUGGAUGAAUAUUAUUAAAUUAACAUAUAUAUAUAUAUAUAUAAAUGACUUUUAUUU
rnacentral:rRNA from 1 species